rnacentral:rRNA from 1 species
GAUGAACGCUGGCGGCGUGCCUAAUACAUGCAAGUCGAGCGAACAGACGAGGAGCUUGCUCCUUUGACGUUAGCGGCGGACGGGUGAGUAACACGUAGGUAACCUACCUAUAAGACUGGGAUAAUUUCGGAAAACCGGAUCUAAUACCGGAUAAUAUUCCGAACCGCAUGGUUCGAUAGUGAAAGAUGGCUUUGCUAUCACUUAUAGAUGGACCUGCGCCGUAUUAGCUAGUUGGUAAGGUAACGGCUUACCAAGGCAACGAUACGUAGCCGACCUGAGAGGGUGAUCGGCCACACUGGAACUGAGACACGGUCCAGACUCCUAAGGGAGGCAGCAGUAGGGAAUCUUCCGCAAUGGGCGAAAGCAUGACGGAGCAACGCCGCGUGAGUGAUGAAGGUCUUCGGAUCGUAAAACUCUGUUAUUAGGGAAGAACAAACGUGUAAGUAACUGUGCACGUCUUGACGGUACCUAAUCAGAAAGCCACGGCUAACUACGUG